CCGCACCGAGCUCCGCUGCUCGCCUGUGGUCUUCGUAUAUAUUCGUGCUACUUCGUAUUUCUUUCGUAUUCGCUGUUCGCUAGUCGUCGUGCGCAGUCGGUCCGCCGAGAGUGAAAUGUGUCUCUUUUGUGAUAUAUUUUAUAAUAGUUAGUAAAGUGCUUAAAUUUUAAAUAUAUGUAGAAUAAAUCCGUGCAGAACCGCGAACUCGGGCUUUUUGGAAAAAGCAGUUCCAUCUGUAGGAGCAAGAAGGUACAUCAACACUUCAAUACACAUAUCAUCUUCCUGCUCUAUAAAUGUAAGUAAUUUAGAAGAAUAUUUUGAUGAACUUUUCUAAUUUGUGUUUCGUUAUUCGAUUACUUUAAUUGGGCGGCUCUUACAUGUGUAGU